GACGAACGCUGGCGGCGCGCCUAACACAUGCAAGUCGAGCGGAGAUAUUAGUAAUAAUAUUUUAGCGGCGGACGGGUGAGUAACGCGUGGGCAAUCUACCUUUCAGAGGGGGAUAACACAGAGAAAUUUGUGCUAAUACCGCAUGAGACCACACAGAAGCAUUUCUGAGUGAUCAAAGGAGUAAUCCGCUGAAAGAUGAGCCCGCGUCUGAUUAGCUAGUUGGUGGGGUAACGGCCUACCAAGGCGACGAUCAGUAGCCGAACUGAGAGGUUGAUCGGCCACAUUGGGACUGAGACACGGCCCAGACUCCUACGGGAGGCAGCAGUGGGGGAUAUUGCGCAAUGGGGGAAACCCUGACGCAGCGACGCCGCGUGGAGGAUGAAGGUCUUCGGAUUGUAAACCCCUUUCAUGAGGAAAGAUAAAGUGGGUAACCACUUAGACGGUACCUCAAGAAGAAGCCACGGCUAACUUCGUGCCAGCAGCCGCGGUAAAGU
rnacentral:rRNA from 1 species